rnacentral:rRNA from 1 species
GACGUAGGGCGCGAGCGUUGUCCGGAUUUAUUGGGCGUAAAGAGCUCGUAGGCGGCUUGUCGCGUCGACUGUGAAAACCCGUGGCUCAACCAUGUGGUCUGCAGUCGAUACGGGCAGGCUAGAAUUCGGUAGGGGAGACUGGAAUUCCAGGUGUAGCGGUGAAAUGCGUAGAUAUCUGGAGGAAUACCGGUGGCGAAGGCGGCAUCCUGGACCGACAUUGACGCUGAGGAGCGAAAGCUAGGGGAGCAAACGGG